UACGUAGGGCGCAAGCGUUGUCCGGAAUUAUUGGGCGUAAAGCGCACGUAGGCGGCUUUGUAAGUUAGAGGUGAAAGCCCGGGGCUCAACUCCGGAAUUGCCUUUAAGACUGCAUCGCUAGAAUUGUGGAGAGGUAAGUGGAAUUCCGAGUGUAGAGGUGAAAUUCGUAGAUAUUCGGAAGAACACCAGUGGCGAAGGCGACUUACUGGACACAUAUUGACGCUGAGGUGCGAAAGCGUGGGGAGCAAACAGG
rnacentral:rRNA from 1 species